rnacentral:rRNA from 1 species
AGCAUAUCAAUAAGCGGAGGAAAAGAAACUAACAAGGAUUCCCCUAGUAACUGCGAGUGAAGAGGGAAAAGCUCAAAUUUAAAAUCUGGCAGUUAUUUGCUGUCCGAGUUGUAAAUUGGAGAAGUGUUAUCCGCGCUGGCCUGUGCAUAAGUCUCUUGGAAAAGAGCAUCAUAGAGGGUGACAAUCCCGUCUUUGGCACAGACUACCAGGGCUUUUGUGAUGCGCUCUCAACGAGUCGAGUUGUUUGGGAAUGCAGCUCUAAAUGGGUGGUAAAUUCCAUCUAAAGCUAAAUAUUGGCGAGAGACCGAUAGCGCACAAGUACCGUGAGGGAAAGAUGAAAAGAACUUUGGAAAGAGAGUUAAACAGUACGUGAAAUUGUUGAAAGGGAAACGCUUGAAGUCAGUCAUGUCUCACUGAAAUCAACCUGGCACUUGUNUGGUGUACUUUNUGUGGGACAGGUCAGCAUCAGUUNUGANNGNUGGAAAAAGGCCUUGGGAAUGUGACAUCUUUU